rnacentral:lncRNA from 10 species
CCAAGUAGCUGGGACUACAGGCGCCCGUCACCACGCCCGGCUAAUUUUUUGUAUUUUUAGUAGAGACGGGGUUUCACGGUGUUAGCCAGGAUGGUCUGGAUCUCCUGACCUCGUGAUCCGCCUCGGCCUCCCAAACUGCUGGGAUUACAGGCGUGAGCCACCACCCCCGGCCGCAGAAAUAUUUUAAUGCCAUUUUAGAAGAACCCAUAACUAACCGUGAGAAAAAAAAAAUCAGACAACCUCAAAUUAAAGGACAUUCUAUAAAAUAUCUGACUAGUGUUUCUCAAAACUGUCACAGUCAUCAAAAAUAAUAAGAAUCUAAAAACCUGUUAUAGUGAAAGGAACCUAAGAAUGCAUGGUAAGUAAAUGUAAUCUAGAUGAGAUCCUGGAGCAGAAUAUAGACAUUAAGCAAAAACGAAAGAAAUAUAAAAAAGUGUAUAUUUUAAUUAAAAUAAUGUAUCAUUAAUGAUCUAUUAAUUGUGACAAAUGCACCAUGAAAGACAGUAGCAAUAUGGAACACUGGGUGUAGGGUAUCUGACAACUCUCCAAC